UUGAAAGGGUUUUAACAAGUGUCUCUUACAUUUUAACCCAUAGUGGGAAAUGCAAUCCUUCCAUUGAUAAAAUCACACCUGUAAUGUUGCAUGCAUCCAAUCAUUUUAGAUGCUAUCUGCCACUUCUUUGAGGCUCUAUAACACAUUAUGGAAUAGCAUGAUGGGAUUUCAAGUGUGCACUUUGCCUGGACAUUAGUGCCCUUCAUUAGUGUUGUUUCCAUCACUGAUACAAUAUCUGCCUCCAUCCUUGUAGAUAAUGGAGAACUCUCAUAGUUAAAGGGGCCUAUUCAAAGAGAACCGAUCACAUUUCAGGGAUGAUAAGCUUUCUACAGUAUUACUGUAUUUAGGUUUGUUACACAGGUUUUCUUUAAAAUGAUGCCUUAGUGAGGUCCUAAAACCAGAGGAUCCUUAAUCCAAGAAUGUGGGAGGCUACAGCACUUAAACAAAAUAAAACUCAGAGUUGGUAGAGCCAGCCCCUGUCACCUCAUGCAUUCAGAUUGCUAAUUAACUUUUUUUGUGAGUGUACAAGUGUGUACAAACCACUUAAAUAGAUGUUAGGCCCAGGGCUCGCUUGUUAGAGCAGUAUAUUUCAGUCCUUCGCUCUAUUGUCAUGGCCUCAGAGGAUUAAACAGAUUAUGUAAACAGAAAAAAAAAAGGAGUCAGGUCAGUUUUGUCAAGUGUUCAACAUACAUACAUGUUAUUAGAGAUCUGCAAGAUCUUGGCACAAUUAUAAUUACUUAAGGUGCUAAACUGUUCUCUUCAAAUUCAAGCAGAAGGUCAAAAAUAAGCUCUCUCUCUGGUGUGGAAAUGUAGAGAGUACUGCACUGAAGACAGGGGUAUGAGAGGAAGAAUAUGUUUUAGAGGAGGAAGAAAAUGAAGUAUGGAUGUCUUGGAUGGGGCCUGGGCCAGUUCGGGUGACCAUCCCCUGACUCCUCUCCUCCUGUGAAAACUCGACGUUGGACUGGAAGGUUGGGUGAGUAUGACGACGACAGAAGCCUCAGUCAAACACUGUAGCUUCAAUUUCCAAAUGAGGUUAUCAAGAUCCAGACAUGCUAUGUUGUUAAGUGGCAAGGUAUUCAAUGAAUGUGCUGUUACUUCCAAAAGUAAAUAUGUUCUAAUGAGACAUGUUUUAACAAAUGAUUAAUUCCCAGAGAUUCAAAAUACUCGGAAGACAGGUGGAGGCUGUUUGCUGGCAGCAGGCUUUGAAAUCAUAGAAAAGUCAUUUUUGUCACGUCAAUAAAAGACUAAAUCCUUCUCUCUCACUAAAUUAAAUUCAUGUAUACCCUCAUCAGUAUAUUGUAUCACACAACCAACUGCAAACACACUCGGGGACAGAUUUAGAAAACGGCAUAAAUAUAUACUGCAGUUUUCAUUGAGUUUGCAAUCUGCUCGUAUUUAGCAUCUGAUGCACUAAGACAGAAGCUCACAUCACUACAAAAUACAACUCGUGCGGUUUUACAAUAUUUAGCACACACUGUACCUAAUUACAGCAGACAAACACAUUCAUGGAAAAUGAAAAGGAGAUGAAGUGAUAUAUUAAGACAAAUCAAAGACAUGAAUACAUAAUAACCCCUUUUAAUAUGUCUCCUCCUGAUCCUCCCUCAAAUGCAUAUGAAAUGAGGGGAAGAGACACACCUGCUGCGUCUGUUUGAUAAAUAUACUGUGUGUUUGGAAAUGUGUCACAUCUGCACCUGAAAAACAGGUGCAAAAGCCUUAAAAUCUGGCCCUCGAGGUUCCAUCGAAAGCAGAAAAAGCUGUAAUUCAUGAUGAUCGCUUUACCAUCUCUGGUUAUUCAUUGAGGAAAGCCAGCAAUAACAUAAUAUAUAUAAUCCAUUUUCAUUACGCAGCGCUGGAGCUCAGUCAGUCCUUUUGUUUGCCUGCAGAUGGCUAUCGGUCUUUCCCGUCUGUAUGUCUGUCAUAAUAGAGAAGAGGGCGACAAUGCAGCCAGUAAAGAAAGGGCUUGGAUAAUUGCUGUAAUGCUAACAGGGAUUCAGAAGAAAAACAGAAAGAAAGAAAGAAA